UACGUAGGGUGCGAGCGUUAAUCGGAAUUACUGGGCGUAAAGCGUGCGCAGGCGGUUUUGUAAGCCAGAUGUGAAAUCCCCGGGCUUAACCUGGGAAUGGCAUUUGGGACUGCAAGGCUCGAGUGCGGCAGAGGAGACUGGAAUUUACGGUGUAGCAGUGAAAUGCGUAGAGAUCGUAAGGAAGACCAGUGGCGAAGGCGGGUCUCUGGACAGUUCCUGACACUGAGGCACGAAGGCCAGGGGAGCAAACGGG
rnacentral:rRNA from 1 species